rnacentral:rRNA from 1 species
CGGAAGGAUCAUUACUGAGUUACAAAGUCGGUCGACUGUGCUGGCGGAAACGCAUGUGCACGUCGGUCGCAAACCAAUCCACACACCUGUGAACACUUGGCUUGGGUGCAUUUUGGUGGUCUUCGGAUCCGUACCCGGGCAAUUUUUACACACUCUAUCAUUGUAAAGGAAUGUACCUGUGCUUAAUGCGCAAAAAAAUAAACAACUUUCAACAACGGAUCUCUUGGCUCUCGCAUCGAUGAAGAACGCAGCGAAAUGCGAUAAGUAAUGUGAAUUGCAGAAUUCAGUGAAUCAUCGAAUCUUUGAACGCACCUUGCACCCUUUGGUAUUCCGAAGGGUACACCCGUUUGAGUGUCAUUGUAAUCUCACUCUCAAAAUCUUUUUUGGGAUGUGGAAUUGGAUGUUGUCGUUCUUCGACUCGUCUUGAAUGUAUCAGUGUAUCCCGCUCGUCGGCGUAACAGUGUGAUAAGUAUCUUCACUGGUAGUCUCUUCGGAGGCGCGCUUUCAGGUGGGCCUCUGCGCUUACACCGUCUUCNGACAAUUUACUGACAAUUUGACCUCAAAUCGGGUGGGACUACCCGCUGAACUUAAGCAUAUCAAUAAGCGGAGGAAAAGAAACAAACAAGGAUUUCCUCUAGUAACGGCGAGUGAAGAGGGAAAAGCUCAAAUUUUGAAUCUGACGUCUUCGGCGUUCGAGUUGUAAUCUAGAGAAGUGUUUUCCGUACUGGACCGUGCACAGUUCCCUGGAACGGGGCGUCAUAGAGGGUGAGAAUCCCGUAU